GGAUCAUGAUGUUUGAGCUUUUGUAUGCUCUUAUGAGUCAUGCUAAUAUAACAAAAUAUGCAAUGCAAUAUCUCUUAGACUAUUGCAGCCAAUUCUACUACCAACAGCACAUUAAAAGAAAGUGACUAUAGAUUUCAUUAUCUAUUUAGUGCAUAUGCCUUACAAUUAUACGACAAUUGUUGUCUUUAUAGAUUGACUUUUGAAGGAACUUCAUUUGGUUGCACUCUGAUAUUGAUGUCCUAGCAUUUGCAUGAAUCUUCUUUGAUAUUAUCUUU
rnacentral:lncRNA from 1 species